AUUGAACGCUGGCGGCAGGCCUAACACAUGCAAGUCGAGCGAGCGGCGGACGGGUGAGUACUGUCUGGGAAAAUGCCUGAUUGAGGGGGCUUACUACUGGAGACGGUAGCUAAUAACGCAUACACUAAGAUGUCUCCAGGUUGGAUUAGCUUGUAGGUGGGUUGAUGGCUCACUUAGGCGACGAUCCCUAGCUGGUCUGAGAGAAUGACCAGACACACUGGAACUGAGACACGGUCCAGACGCCUACGAGAGGCAGCAGUGGGGAAUAUUGCACAAUGGGCGCAAGCCUGAUGCAGCCAUGCCGCGUGAGUGAAGAAGGCCGUCGGGUUGUAAAGCACUUUCAGCGGGGAGGCGUUACCCGAGGAAGAAGCACCGGCUAACUCCGUGCCAGCAGCCGCGGUAAUAC
rnacentral:rRNA from 1 species